rnacentral:lncRNA from 1 species
UGCUUUACACAGCGCUCUGCAUCUAAUCUCGAGACCUGUCUGUGAGGUAAACUGGUUAUUGCCCCCAGCCUAAGUAUAAGCAAACUGAAGCAGAAAGAACUGAUGUGAUUUGCCCUGGGCCAUGUUGGCCUCCUCUCACUCACAUCCUCCCUAAUCCUCAUGUAGUCCUCUAAUUACCCUCUCCUGGUUGCAGUGGAGGGAUAUCCCUGUGCCCCUGCUGUGGCAGCUCUCCUGACUCCUGAUCUGCAGCUGCUGCUUCAUGGAGGAUAAAGGUUUUAAGGCACCAGCCACCACCUCUGGCCAUUGCCCCCAAACCCUGAAACACUUUUAAAUGGGGGGCCUGAAGGUUAAAUAAAGCUGCACUGGGAGCCCUGGACAGGGGCAGGGUGAGAGGAAGGUGCAUUAGCAGAAAUGGGCAGGAGCUACAGAUGGAAAUGUUAAAUGAAUGAGUAAACAUGGACUGAGUAUCCUUAUACCAUCCUGGCUAGCUAGAAUCACUUAGAUCUCUAUGUAUGACAGCAUACAAUAACACUUCCUUUCAGCACAGGGCCUAAACCUACAGGGCCCAGUUCAUCCCAUUAGUUACCUCUCUAGGGCCAGCAGUUAUUCCAGGAGUGAAUACAGUCUAGAUAUAUUAAACUUUUCAUUAUUUAUGUAAAUCACAGUGGCUUGGCAGAGCUUACGCUUUCAAGAGCUUGGUGGAAAUUUCCUCCUGCCUGAGCAGUACCGAGGCAAUGGGAUGGGAGGGCCACAUAUCAGUUGAUAUUUUUAGACUGGGUGACAAAUUUGUCAAUACCCUGGUGCUGGACACUGUGUUCCUGGGUGUUUACAAAGCAGUGUCUGCUUAAGCAGCUGAGUGCAGCUGAGGGGAAGAGCAGCUGGCACAGAAGUACCUUGUCAGACACUAAGGUCUCCUUCCUGUUGAAGGCUCCUCCAUUGCAGCAGCAGAGAAAUACCUUCUGGGGCACCCAGCACCGUGGCUUCCUCUGCCCCAGGCCUGCAUGGGUGCUGCUCCAGACAUCUGUCAGACAGCACCCCACAAUGUUAGGAAGGAGCCCGAGCUAAACUACUCCCUUUGGGCUCUAGGGCAGCAGCCAAGUGUGCCCAGGGUUCUCCCGUGAAGCAGAGGGUGAUGAGGAGCACCUCUUCUAGUAUUUGAAUCUGGGCUGGCAGAGAAAAGAUUUUACCAUGAGUCAGUGCUAGGACAAGGAGGAUGAGCUAAGAAGAGGUAUGUAUCUCAAGACAACAGGAUGAAGAAGCAUUUUUCUAUGAAAGACUUUUAAUUAUAGGGUUUUGGGGUUUUUUUGGUGGGGGGAGGCAGGUGUUGGUGGUUUUUAGUUGGGUGUUUUUGGGGGUUUAUUUACGUUUCUGGGGUUUUGUUUUGUUUUUGUUGGUUGGUUGGUUGGGUUUGGGUGUUUUGUUUAAUUUUCUUCUA